rnacentral:rRNA from 1 species
UGGGGUAUAUUGGACAAUGGGCGAAAGCCUGAUCCAGCCAUGCCGCGUGUGUGAAGAAGGUCUUCGGAUUGUAAAGCACUUUAAGUUGGGAGGAAGGGCAGUAAGCGAAUACCUUGCUGUUUUGACGUUACCGACAGAAUAAGCACCGGCUAACUCUGUGCCAGCAGCCGCGGUAAUACAGAGGGUGCAAGCGUUAAUCGGAAUUACUGGGCGUAAAGCGCGCGUAGGUGGUUCGUUAAGUUAAAUGUGAAAGCCCCGGGCUCAACCUGGGAACUGCAUCCAAAACGGGCGAGCUAGAGUAGGGCAGAGGGUGGUGGAAUUUCCUGUGUAGCGGUGAAAUGCGUAGAUAUAGGAAGGAACACCAGUGGCGAAGGCGACCACCUGGGCUCAUACUGACACUGAGGUGCGAAAGCGUGGGGAGCAAACAGG